UUGCCUCAACGACUGCCAGUCCCAGGGAGAGCUGCGCGCGACAGGACCGUGGAUUUCACCGUUUUCCACAAUUCUGGAACACUCAGAAGAAAACGGUCCCCUCUGAAGAGAAAGGAAGGACUGGAGACCUCACAGACCAUGCACCUUCCGCGCACGAACUCCGGAGGGCCAGUCGCGAUCGUCCCCUGUCACUUGAGGUCACCACUGCAUAGCCUGGGGAGACACGGAGCUGCGGGCGCAGAGCUGUCGGUCCAGACUCGAGGGCCGAAGUUGCCGCGCGCAGAGACGCGACAGGACUCUGGAAUGCCAGCUGCCCGCCCCGCCCCCGCCCCCGCGCCGCGCGCCGGCGGGGCCUGAGGUCCGAGAGGCGCCCCCGACGCACUGGAGUCCCAGACUUCAGAGUUGUCCGCGGGGAAGCGAGAUCGCGCCACGGCCGCCUCCGGCCGGUUCCAAACAGCACUCCGCCCCCCUCUCUGGAAGCCCGGGCCUGCACACUCACCAUUUCUAGCUUUCCUGGGUCUCCCAGCGUUCCACCUGCGAUUUCUGGGGAAAGUACAGGUCUCAGUCAGGUAGAAUCAGAGGAAGAGCGACGCGGAAGUUUGGAGCGCAGGUAACCCGCGAUGCCAACAAUGGCGGGAGCCAGAGGCCUCCUGCGGUGCGCCUGCGGAGCGUCGCCCCACCCACCUGCCCUGACGUCUCCUCUGAUUGGGCAGCUUGCAAGGCCCGCCCCCUCUCCCUGGGGAGUGACGGCAGGCCAGAGGUUUGGUGUCUGGGGAGCACCGGUGGGGAACUCGUCGUCUCCAGGGGCCUUUACGUUGGAGGAGUUUAAAAACCCUGUUGCCUUCCAAGCGCUCAGCUGUGGUGGAAAGUUGGAACCCUAGUCCCAGCUGAGUAACGGACUCUUCCAAGACCUCACAGAGAGAGAGAGAGAGAGAGAGAGAGGCAGAGACACAGGCAGAGGGAGAAGCAGGCUC